rnacentral:rRNA from 1 species
AUAUCAAUAAGCGGAGGAAAAGAAACCAACAGGGAUUACCUCAGUAACGGCGAGUGAAGCGGUAACAGCUCAAAUUUGAAAUCUGCCAACAGGCCGAGUUGUAAUUUGUAGAAGAUGCUUCGGGUGUGGCACCGGUCUAAGUUCAUUGGAACAUGACGUCAUAGAGGGUGAGAAUCCCGUAUGUGACUGGUUGCCUAUGCUCAUGUGAAGCUCUUUCAACGAGUCGAGUUGUUUGGGAAUGCAGCUCAAAAUGGGUGGUAUAUUUCAUCUAAAGCUAAAUAUUGGCCAGAGACCGAUAGCGCACAAGUAGAGUGAUCGAAAGAUGAAAAGCACUUUGGAAAGAGAGUUAAACAGUAC